AUGGCUUUCUUCCCGCAAGGGGCCGGUGCACAGGUGCUGCAUGGCUGUCGUCAGCUCGUGUCGUGAGAUGUUGGGUUAAGUCCCGCAACGAGCGCAACCCUCGCCCUUAGUUGCCAUCAUUAAGUUGGGCACUCUAGGGGGACUGCCGGUGAUAAGCCGCGAGGAAGGUGGGGAUGACGUCAAGUCCUCAUGGCCCUUACAGGCUGGGCUACACACGUGCUACAAUGGCGGUGACAAUGGGAUGCGGAAGGGCGACCUCGAGCAAAUCUCAAAAAGCCGUCUCAGUUCGGAUUGCACUCUGCAACUCGAGUGCAUGAAGGUGGAAUCGCUAGUAAUCGCAGAUCAGCACGCUGCGGUGAAUACGUUCCCGGGCCUUGUACACACCGCCCGUCACACCAUGGGAGUUGGUUUUACCCGAAGGCGUUUCGCCAACCGCAAGGAGGCAGGCGACCACGGUAGGGUCAGCGACUGGGGUGAAGUC
rnacentral:rRNA from 1 species